AGCAUUACUUCAUGCAACCAAGCUUUGUAAAACCCCUGCAAUCCAGCAAUGUGAUAACGGAUGCAAACAGCGUGAAGGAAAUUAUUGAGCGUGUACAGCAACAGUACAAAGACGUGCAGACCAUCACUGGGUUUAUGCUGGAUCAGCUCAGCUUGUUUGAGUUGCGUGAGGAUUUGGACUCAUUUUGAUGCCGUCUCCACUCCUCCGGUUGGGUGCUUCACGAACGCAGCAAGCUCUGGCGUAAUUCUUACAAAUCCUUCUUGCGACGUCCUAUUAAGACGAAGCUCCUACUUCAACUCCGAAAUCUGUUACUAUUGGGUAAUGAAGACAAGAGAGAGAAAGGCGUCUGUAGUUCUUCUGAAGCAGGAUGGCACAGCAAUAUGAGGAAGACACAAUUAUGUACCUUGAACCGGAAGCAGAACCCCAGAGCCAUGAGGCUCUUCGAUAAAAGCCGUACUUAACCCAGAAUCGGGAGCGAUUGAAACUCAAACCCAUGAAGAGAAAGCCAGAGAGAAACAUUGGGACAUGUUGCCAAACGAACAGGUAAUGAUACAUACAUUAUAGAAGUACAAGGUUAUAAAAGUCGUCUGGAAAUAUGUGACAGAAAUACCAAUUUAAUGAUAAACAAAUACUUUUCGAACUAACUCCGGACAGUAGUCCAUUGUAAACUUGAAUUUCCAACGUAUUGACGAACUGUUAGGCAAACCUUUUUUGUUAUACGAAACCGUUGGUGUUUCUUUCACACAGUUUAUACCCACAUAUCAAAAUGAGCUAUGGAAGGUUGACACCCACAGAUACAAUAUUAGAGGGUUCUACUAGUUGGAAUGAAUGUCAUAGUUAGGAUAGUUAAGGAUUAAUCUCAACUCGGCACAAACCGAUUAAGAAUGCGCUUGACAGUAUGUGAGCAAGGGGAGAUGGCUAGUACUAAAGUUGAACUGAAUGGCAUUAAUGAUCGUGAUCAUGAUUCAUGCCCUGCUGGGUUGAACAUAUAAUAUGCUUUGAAAUUGAUAGAUUCUCAUUCACCUCA